GGUCUCAUAGUGGAAAUUAAAGACGUUAGAUUGCAAAUCUAAAGAUGUAUAAGGAUACUGGGACUU
rnacentral:tRNA from 1 species